rnacentral:misc_RNA from 1 species
UAUUACUUUGUGUCUCUUAGUCAACCUGAUCUGGUCCAUGUUCGUGGGGAGGGCAUCAUGGGCAUGUCCACACCAGUGUCCACACCAUGUCCACUCCCCCCCGCACUCGCCCAUGCUGUCGCACAGACCAAAGCAGGCACUCCCGCACCCACUCCCUCAUAUCGGUGCACCAUCCAGCACACCCCCCACUAAUGAUCCUUCCGCAGGUUCACCUACGGAAA